CUCGGUGGCACUAGCGAGAGGGAAACACCUCUUCCCAUUCCGAACAGAGCAGUUAAGCCUCUUUGCGCCGAUGGUACUUGGCCUGAAAGGGCCUGGGAGAGUAGGUCGCCGCCGGUU
rnacentral:rRNA from 1 species